rnacentral:rRNA from 1 species
GACAGAGGGUGCAAACGUUGUUCGGAAUUACUGGGCGUAAAGCGCGUGUAGGCGGCUAUGUAAGUCGGGCGUGAAAUCCCACGGCUCAACCGUGGAAGUGCACUCGAAACUGCAUAGCUAGAGUCCUGGAGAGGAAGGUGGAAUGCUUGGUGUAGAGGUGAAAUUCGUAGAUAUCAAGCGGAACACCGGUGGCGAAGGCGGCCUUCUGGACAGUGACUGACGCUGAGACGGCGAAAGCGUGGGGAGCAACA